rnacentral:rRNA from 1 species
AGAGUUUGAUCCUGGCUCAGGACGAACGCUGGCGGCGUGCUUAACACAUGCAAGUCGAACGAUGAAGCGGUGCUUGCACCGUGGAUUAGUGGCGAACGGGUGAGUAAUACGUGAGUGACCUACCUUUGACUCUGGGAUAAGCCUGGGAAACUGGGUCUAAUACCGGAUACGACCAAUCUCUGCAUGGGGUGUUGGUGGAAAGCGUUAUGGAGUGGUUUUAGAUGGGCUCACGGCCUAUCAGCUUGUUGGUGAGGUAAUGGCUUACCAAGGCGACGACGGGUAGCCGGCCUGAGAGGGUGACCGGCCACACUGGGACUGAGACACGGCCCAGACUCCUACGGGAGGCAGCAGAAGGCGA